rnacentral:rRNA from 1 species
CCUACGGGGGGCAGCAGUGAGGAAUCUUGGUCAAUGGGCGCGAGCCUGACCCAGCCAAGUAGCGUGAAGGAUGACUGCCCUACGGGUUGUAAACUUCUUUUAUAAAGGAAUAAAGUGAGGCACGUGUGCCUUUUUGUAUGUACUUUAUGAAUAAGGAUCGGCUAACUCAGUGCCAGCAGCCGCGGUAAUACGGAGGAUCCGAGCGUUAUCCGGAUUUAUUGGGUUUAAAGGGAGUUUAGAUGGGUUGUUAAGUCAGUUGUGAAAGUUUGUGGCUCAACCGUAAAAUUGCAAUUGAUACUGGCAGUCUUGAGUACAGUUGAGGAGGGCGGAAUUCGUGGUGUAGCGGUGAAAUGCGUAGAUAUCACGAAGAACUCCGAUGGCGAAGGCAGCUUACUAAACUGCCACUGACAUUGAUGCUCGAAAGUGUGGGUAUCAAACAGGAUUAGAUACCCUGGUAGUC